ensembl:lncRNA
GCUCGCGCGAGGGGAGGGCGGGGCGCAGGGAGGUGCCGCGGAGGGAGGGAGGUGCCGCGGAGGGAGGGAGGGAGAGAUUCCGCCUUGUCCUGCUGUCGGGUUCGCUUCUCUCGCUUUGGUAAACUGACGUCGCGUAGGACUCUGGUUCGAAUCCCGCCGUCACGCGUAGUCGGCUCUGAGUCCCCGCCCUGCCAGAAGCUGACUCUGCGGUGAGCUUGAGGGAGUUACUUGGCAUCUCCUCGCCAAGGCCGACUUUUCUGACACGAUGGCGUUUAACCUGGGGGGUUGGUGUGAGGAGAAUAGAAAUUAGUGCGCGUAAAGCUACCGCAGUAGCGGUGCCGGCGACCUAGAGCGUGAAGCUGGUGCUGCUUGGGUUCAUCUUUUCCAGUCCGCCUUGAGCCGGUGAGCCAAGCAAGGGAUAGAAAAUGAAGGGCACUUCUGCUACCGAAUACAUGGAGGGAGGAAGGUGCCACCAGGAAACACCAAAUGGUUCCCUGUGGUAAGACACUAGCUAUUAGGAGGAAACAGGAAAAGGAAGAGGAGAGCACAGAGACAGACCCAGGAGAUGGCCAUAGGAAAACACCACACUAAUGAAGAUGGAGGCAGAGACCAGAGC